rnacentral:rRNA from 1 species
AGUGAACGCUGGCGGUAGGCCUAACACAUGCAAGUCGAACGGCAGCACAGUAAGAGCUUGCUCUUACGGGUGGCGAGUGGCGGACGGGUGAGGAAUACAUCGGAAUCUACUUUUUCGUGGGGGAUAACGUAGGGAAACUUACGCUAAUACCGCAUACGACCUACGGGUGAAAGCAGGGGAUCUUCGGACCUUGCGCGAUUGAAUGAGCCGAUGUCGGAUUAGCUAGUUGGCGGGGUAAAGGCCCACCAAGGCGCCGAUCCGUAGCUGGUCUGAGAGGAUGAUCAGCCACACUGGAACUGAGACACGGUCCAUACUCCUACGGGAGGCAGCAGUGGGGAAUAUUGGACAAUGGGCGCAAACCUUAUCCAGCCAUACCGCGUGGGUGAAGAAGGCCUUCGGGUUGUAAAGCCCUUUUGUUGGGAAAGAAAAGCAGCAGGUUAAUACCCCGCUGUUCUGACGGUACCCAAAGAAUAAGCACCGGCUAACUUCGUG